GCCUGGUGAGUCCCCGGCUGCGUCCUGCUGCUCGGGCUGCUCCCAGCCGCUCCCCCCAUCUCUUGAUAAAAGUGGUUGAGAGAAGAUUGGAACCAACUAAUUGCUUCUUGCCUGCCCUAAAUUGGAGCUUCAUGAAGUCAUGGAUGAGGACAUCACCACCGAGUGACUGAGCACGGAUCAAAGGGAAGAGCCUGGCUGAAGGGCAACCAGCCAGCCCGUGGUGAGAAGCAUCUAACUUUGUAAGGGCACUGAAAGUGUUAAGAU